rnacentral:lncRNA from 1 species
UAUUUUCCUUCUGUUUUCACCCAUUCUGGCACAAUCUGGCGCCAUCGUCCUUCUUGUGAGGCCAAGCCUGAAAAUGCGAAGCAGAGAGGCAGGACCAAAAUUGAGGCGAAUCCAGGAACCUGCCAAUGGGUCUCCGGGUGCGGUCUCUGAAACUGGAGGAUAUCGGGAGGAAAGGCUCUCCGAUGCGGAGAUAAUGGGGAAGCUCUUGGCAUGGUUGGCUGUAGGUAUGUGAUACCGGAGGAGCAGGAGUCAAAUAGGAUACGCCGACUUUUAAUUCAAGGAACCCUUUUCUGAAACACUUUGCCACAAUGAAGGAAAUAAGAUUACAGCCGAAGAUACAUAUUAAGGAAUAAAAUUGAAGGGUGUUUUUCUUAGAGAACAUCAUUUGUCAUAUUUAUUUGAUCAAGAAGUUGAAGAUUUAUAUAAUAAGGUAUGGGACUUACACAUUUAUUUUGAUAAAAGAACACAGAAAAGGUCAGGUAUGAGCAGAAAAUUGACAUUUAUUUCAGCCUAAUGUGGAUACUGUACUCUGAAUUAAAAAUUUCUUUUCCUUACUCUUCCAGCUUUUAAAGAUAAGUAUUAUUUCAAAAUAGUAUUUUUUUAAUUAAUAGAUUCAAUUCAGGAAAGGCAUUGGAGGGGGUGGAGCUUUUAACUUUGACAGUCUCACUCUGUUGCCCAGGCUGGAGUGCAGCGGCGCAAUCUCUGCUCACUGCAAUCUCUGCCUCCUGGGUUCAAAUAGUUAUUGUGGCCCAGCUUCCCAAGUGGCUGGGAUUAGAGGCGCAUGCCACCACACCCAGCUAAUUUUUUUUAUUAAGUAGAGACCAUGUUUUGCCAUGUUGGCCAGACUGGUCUCAAACUUCCAGCCACCAACCUCAGCCUCCCAAAGUGCUGGGAUUAUAGUCAUAAGCCACCACACCUGGCUGUUGGUUAUCUUUUCUUAGAAAUAAUGAUAUAAUCUUUUCAGCACCUGAUAUUCUUAAAGAUCCAGGGUUUACAAAUGACUGUUAGAUAUGCCAAGGAUGACUAGCCUAUAACUUAAGGAUCUGUUCAGGAACAGUAGAAAAGAAGGUGAUAGGAAACUGGGAAUCUUAAAUCUAAUACUAGUUCUGUCAUGAAUUAGGCUUGUUAUUGUAGUUGUUUCUCAAAUUUAAGAAAAUAUGAGGGGUCUUGAAAAAGUGCAUGGAAAAUGCAUAUCAUGAAAAAACUAUGCAUGGAUUUCAAAAUUUUUGGACCAAAAUAAACUCCUACUAACUUGUUAUAACAUGUCUGAACAGGAUCUAGUUUGAAGCACUAAGAAGAAUAAGACAUCAGUUUGAAAAGAGGCUCUAUCAGAACAACACGAAUUCUGCUAAAAUUGAAGCAAGAACAAACAUCAAAUAUAUGUUGACACUUGGGUGGAAGAAUGGUGAACUAAUUGAUGCUUUAUGAAAAGUUGAUAGGGACAGUGCUCCAAAGAAAUCAGUUUACAAAUGGAUAACUCGUUUUAAGAAGGCAUAAGGUAAUGUUGAAGAAGAAGCCCACAGUGGCAGAUCAUCCACAUCAGUUUGUGAGAAAAAAGUUAGUUCAUGGCGUAAUUGAAGAAAACCAACAAUUAACAGCAGAAACAACAGCCAACACCAUAGACAUCUCAGUUGGUUCACCUUACACAAUUUUGACUGGAAAAGUUCAGCAAACUUUAUACCUGAUAGGUACCAAAACCAUUGCACCCAGAUCAGCUACAGACAAGAAUAGAGCUUUCAAUGGAAAUUUUAAAUAAGUGGGAUCAGGAUCUUGAAGCCUUUCAUUGAAAAAUUGUAACAGGAGAUGAAACAUGGCUUUACCAGCGCAAUCCUGAAGACAAAACACAAAGCAGUGGUUACCAAGAUAAGUAGUUCAGUUAAAGCACAAGAGGACUGGUUGAGAGCAAAGGUCAUGGCAACAGCUUUUGAAUGCUCAAGGCAUUUUGCUUGUUGACUUUCUGUAGGGCCAAAGAAUGGUAACGUGCUUAUCAUGGGAGUGUUUUGAGAAACUUAGCCAAAGCUUCAGCAGAAAAAUCCCCGAGAAAGACCAGAGAGUUCUUCACCACAACAAUGUUCCUGCUCAUCCCUCUCAUCAAACAAGGCCAUUUUGCAAGAGUUUUGAUGGGAAAUCACUAGGCAUCCACCCUACAGUCCUGGUUUGGCACCUUCUGACUUUUUGUUUCCUAAUCUUAAAAAAAUUUUUCAGGGCAGUACAUUUUUCUCAAGUUAAUGUAUAAAGAAACUGCAUUGAUGUAGAUAAAUUCCCAGAACUCUCAGUUCUUUAGGGAUGGACUAAAUAGCUGGUAUCAUCACUUACAAAAGUGUCUUGAAUGCUAUAGAGCUAAUGUUCAAAAAUAUAGUUUAUAUUUUUUAUCUUUUAACCAUUUUUCCACAAACUUUUUGAAGUCUCCUUGAAUAUGUACCAUUUAUAAAGGGGAAAAAUUCUGUGACUACUCAUGUUGACUUAAUGCUGACUUAAUUUUCUGUUUUGUAAAUAUAUACAAACAAGUUGAUACAAAUUUUGUUUAUAGCCCUUAAACAAAUUUGUGAAAUAAAUGCAUUCAGAAACAAACUAAAACAAUGAAA